rnacentral:rRNA from 1 species
CCGCGUGGGGGAUGAAGGCCUUCGGGUUGUAAACCCCUUUCAGCAGGGACGAAGCGCAAGUGACGGUACCUGCAGAAGAAGCGCCGGCUAACUACGUGC